CUUAGCCUUUGAAGUUUUGCUGUUGUGGAGAAGGCAAAUAUUAUUUUUUCUUGUGCCUUAGGGAGAUAAAUCCAUAUAUAAGAGGAUAUGUACAUAUGUAUAUGUUUGAGGGAAAUGAGAAAGGAAUGAAAAACAUUUGUCACAAAUUAAAUUCAGAGCAUAUAAGAAUAUUGUCUUAUUGUUUUUCUUAAUCAAAGCUGCUAUAAGAAAUAAUAUAAACUGGGUAUAACAAGAGCAACAGAAGUUUAUUUAGCACAGAUUUGUAGGCUGGCAAAACCAAGAUCAGUGUGCCAGCCCACUCAGUAUUUAGAAAAUGCCCAAUUUCUGGCUGUCUUCUCACUGUAACCUCACACAGCCAAAAAGAGCAAAGAAUCUCUCUGAUACCUUGUAGAAAAAGGAAUUAAUCCCUUUUAGUCACCUCUUAAUGGCUUCAUCUCCUAAGGCUAUCUCUUUGAGGUUUAUGAUUCAACAUAAAAUUUAGGAGUGAUGUAAAUAUUUGGUCCACUCCAUUAUUUUUCAGUUUUUUCAGUUCUAAUUUUGUGUUUCAUCUAGGCCCACAAAAUGUGUCAUUGCUGAAGGAAUAUUCACAGAAUGCAUCCCUGAAGUACAGCUGUCUGAAUUUUUUUUUCACAUCUGACAAUAAAGAAGAUCAGGGAUAUUUAAAGUAUAUAUUUCCUGGUGAUGCACCAGUAAUAAAGGUCAUGUUUCAGGUAGCAAAGCUUGGGAACCACUUCCAGUGGUUGGCUGACUGGCCCUAA
rnacentral:lncRNA from 1 species